ACUCAACAUUUAAACGUCAAUUCAAAAUAAAACACGGGCACAGUACGACGUUAGCUAUUCGUUAAAAUUAAUUCUUGCCUGAUAGACAACUUGUGACUUCUGUCUCGCAAUUCUUGUUUAGAGUCAAACAGGACUUAUUUGUUUGUGAGAUAUUUAUUCCGCCCCACCACAAUUCCUAGGUGUAACAUGGACGGUCCCGCAGGACCAUCUCCAUGUCAAAAUGAACAGAGGAUGAACAGCGAAGCGAUGAAGAGGCUCGGGGCUGACGACUCCGGUUGUCAUUGUGACAGGACGCAGCCCGAGGUCAAGAUUAAGAGCAAACGAUACGGAAGAGGCGCUGUUGAAUCAGGAUUAACACACGAAUGUGGAGUUUUUGGGGCGAUAGGCACAGGAAAAUGGCCGACUCAGGUCGACAUACCGCAAGUCAUAUGUUUGGGACUGGUGGCAUUGCAGCACAGAGGACAAGAAUCUGCGGGCAUAGUGACGUCAGAGGGUGUGAGCGCCCGCACGUUCAACUCGCACAAAGGAAUGGGGCUCAUUAACAAUAUAUUCAACGAUGAGGCCAUGAAGAAUCUAAAAGGCAACCUUGGGAUCGGCCAUACCAGGUACUCCACGUCGGCGGCCUCCGAGGAGGUGAACUGCCAGCCGUUCGUGGUGCACACGGCCCAUGGCGCCCUCGCGGUGGCACAUAACGGGGAGCUGGUCAACUGCAGUAGCCUCAGGAGGAUGGUCCUUGGCAGAGGAGUAGGUUUGUCCACGCACUCGGACUCCGAGCUGAUCACGCAGGCGCUGUGCCUCAAUCCCCCCGAGGGGGAGAGCGACGGCCCCGACUGGCCCGCCAGGAUCAACCAUCUCAUGAGGCUGGCUCCUUUAAGUUAUUCGUUAGUGAUAAUGCUGAAAGACAAGAUCUAUGCGGUCCGCGACCCUUACGGGAACCGGCCGCUGUGUCUCGGGAAGAUUUUACCUCUCGGAUCCUCGUAUAUCUACAAAAAGUCAUCGGCGCAGCAUGAAGCGGUUCUAAUGAACGGCUGCGCUAAGAAUGGCGUGGACGACAGAGCCGAGGGUUGGGUCGUCUCCUCCGAGUCAUGUGGAUUCUUAUCAAUAGGCGCCCGCUACGUCCGCGAGGUGCUCCCCGGGGAGAUCGUGGAGAUGUCGAGCCACGGGAUCCGCACCGUGGACGUGGUGGAGCGCCCCGCCGGGAACCACCAGGCCUUCUGCAUCUUCGAAUACGUCUACUUCGCCAGAGCGGACAGCAUGUUCGAAGGUCAGAUGGUGUACUCAGCGCGCAUGCAGUGCGGGCGCAUGCUCGCCCGGGAGAGCGCAGUGGACGCCGACAUCGUGUCCUCCGUGCCCGAGUCCGGCACGGCAGCCGCGCACGGCUACGCACGACAGGUACACCCGCACUCUGUGCGCCGGCACUACAGACGCGCACUCACAGCGCGGCGGACGCCGACAUCGUGUCCUCCGUGCCCGAGUCCGGCACGGCAGCCGCGCACGGCUACGCACGACAGUCCGGCAUUCCGUUCAUGGAGGUUCUGUGCAAGAACCGGUACGUCGGGAGAACGUUCAUUCAGCCCUCAACCCGGCUGCGGCAGCUCGGCGUCGCCAAGAAGUUCGGCGCGCUCUCCGAGAACGUGAAGGGGAAACGGAUUGUGCUCAUAGACGACUCCAUAGUCCGGGGGAACACCAUCGGACCCAUCAUCAAGUUGCUCAGAGACGCGGGGGCCGCUGAGGUCCACAUAAGAAUAGCGUCGCCGCCGCUGAAGUACCCGUGCUACAUGGGCAUCAACAUUCCAACCCGCGAGGAACUCAUCGCCAACAAAAUGGACUCCUUCAAGCUCGCGG
rnacentral:misc_RNA from 1 species